rnacentral:rRNA from 1 species
UACGUAAAAGACUAGUGUUAUUCAUCUUCAAUAGGUUUAAAGGGUACCUAGACGGUAAUAUUAGCUCAAAACAGAGUACAAUAUUACUAGAGUUUUAUAUGAGAUGGGGAGUAUUCAUGAGAGUAGAGAUGAAAUUUUUUGAUACUAUUAGGACUGAUAAUAGCGAAAGCAACCUUUUAUGUAAUAACUGACGUUGAGGACGAAGGCCUGGGUAACGAACAGG